rnacentral:rRNA from 1 species
GACGAACGCUGGCGGCGUGCUUAACACAUGCAAGUCGAACGGAAAGGCCCUGCUUUUGUGGGGUGCUCGAGUGGCGAACGGGUGAGUAACACGUGAGUAACCUGCCCUUGACUUUGGGAUAACUUCAGGAAACUGGGGCUAAUACCGGAUAGGAGCUCCUGCUGCAUGGUGGGGGUUGGAAAGUUUCGGCGGUUGGGGAUGGACUCGCGGCUUAUCAGCUUGUUGGUGGGGUAGUGGCUGACCAAGGCUUUGACGGGUAGCCGGCCUGAGAGGGUGACCGGCGACAUUGGGACUGAGGUACGGCCCAGACUCCUACGGGAGGCAGCAGUGGGGAAUAUUGCACAAUGGGCGGAAGCCUGAUGCAGCAACGCCGCGUGCGGGAUGACGGCCUUCGGGUUGUAAACCGCUUUCGCCUGUGACGAAGCGUGAGUGACGGUAAUGGGUAAAGAAGCACCGGCUAACUACGUG